AGCAAUCUGCCCCUGACUCUGGGAUAAGCGCUGGAAACGGCGUCUAAUACCGGAUACGAGCUGCGAAGGCAUCUUCAGUAGCUGGAAAGAAUUUCGGUCAGGGAUGAGCUCGCGGCCUAUCAGCUUGUUGGUGAGGUAACGGCUCACCAAGGCGUCGACGGGUAGCCGGCCUGAGAGGGUGACCGGCCACACUGGGACUGAGACACGGCCCAGACUCCUACGGGAGGCAGCAGUGGGGAAUAUUGCACAAUGGGCGAAAGCCUGAUGCAGCAACGCCGCGUGAGGGACGACGGCCUUCGGGUUGUAAACCUCUUUUAGCAGGAAAGAAGCGAAAGUGACGGUACCUGCAGAAAAAGCGCCGGCUAACUACGUGCCAGCAGCCGCGGUAAUACGUAGGGCGCAAGCGUUAUCCGGAAUUAUUGGGCGUAAAGAGCUCGUAGGCGGUCUGUCGCGUCUGCUGUGAAAACCCGAGGCUCAACCUCGGGCCUGCAGUGGGUACGGGCAGACUAGAGUGCGGUAGGGGGAGAUUGGAAUUCCCUGGUGUAGCGGGUGGAAUGCGCAGAUAUCAGGAGGAAACACCGAUGGCGAAAGGCAGAUUCUCUGGGGCCGUAAACUUGACCGCUGAGGAGCGAAAGGGGUGGGGAGCAAAACAGGGCUUUAGAUACCCUGGGUAGUCCAACCCCCGUAAAACGUUGGGAAACUAUAGUUGUGGGGGUCCAUUCCCACGGAUUUCCGUGGACGCAGCCUAACGCAAUUAAGUUUCCCCCGCCCUGGGGAGUACCGGCCGCAAGGGCCUAAAAACUUCCAAAGGAAUUUGAACGGGGGAACCCGCACAAGCGGCGGAGCAUGCGGAUUAAUUCGAUGCAACGCGAAGAACCUUACCAAGGCUUGACAUAUACGAGAACGGGCCAGAAAUGGUCAACUCUUUGGACACUCGUAAACAGGUGGUGCAUGGUUGUCGUCAGCUCGUGUCGUGAGAUGUUGGGUUAAGUCCCGCAACGAGCGCAACCCUCGUUCUAUGUUGCCAGCACGUAAUGGUGGGAACUCAUGGGAUACUGCCGGGGUCAACUCGGAGGAAGGUGGGGAUGACGUCAAAUCAUCAUGCCCCUUAUGUCUUGGGCUUCACGCAUGCUACAAUGGCCGGUACAAAGGGCUGCAAUACCGCGAGGUGGAGCGAAUCCCAAAAAGCCGGUCCCAGUUCGGAUUGAGGUCUGCAACUCGACCUCAUGAAGUCGGAGUCGCUAGUAAUCGCAGAUCAGCAACGCUGCGGUGAAUACGUUCCCGGGUCUUGUACACACCGCC
rnacentral:rRNA from 1 species